CUCAUUUUCCACCGGAAGGAGGGAGAAAUUAUGACCGAGAGCCUGACACCUGAUGCUAGCGGCUUUUGUCUCGCCAAGUUGACCCAGUAUUUGGCCACCUUGUGCGGCGGGUGACUAUGGUGUCCAGGUAUAUAUAUGUAUUACCUGAAAGCCCAGGGCAGUUGUUGCCUUGGGUCAUGCAGAGAAUAUGCAGCCACACCCAUGCCUUAGAUGUGUGUAAUUCAAGUGGAGAAGACACAAGCCAGUGGUCGCAAUAUCAACACUUGAGUGUUCUGUAAACGAUUAAUGUUUGCCAUGUGCAAGGAAAUGGCAGAGGCAAAAUGCUGGCGGCUUAUGGAAAAAUAAUUUAUAAAAAAAUGAUGGGUUAGUUCUGCCAAAUUUGAGUAAGUGAGAACACGAGAAACCAUAUUCUGUUAGAGCUUGAGAAAAGGAAGGAAAGUCAAACGGUGAGUCUAACCUCAUUUAUUCCAGGAUUGGUGUCAGCAGAAAACCAACAGUGAUGUGGUGGCACACAGUGAACUGACAGGACCCAGGCAGCAGCGGUUCUUUUGGUGGCAAUGGUGCCAUGUCAUGGGUACUCUCCUUGCUGAUGGCAGAUACCGACAGGCAAACUGUUGCCUUGCGUUUAGCUCUGUUAACCAUUGACAGUAAGGUAAGCAUGUCUUCAGCGUUCAUGGCU
rnacentral:lncRNA from 1 species